GUCACGUGGUUCAUGGAGCUGCUAAUAGUUCCAAACACCAGCAGCUCCAGCACUGGACAUAGUCAUUCUCGGUGUUUUGGAAGGAUUUUUUACGGUAAACCACACGAGAAUGGCUUAAGUGAACUGCUGGACCAUGUUGCAUACAAAGCACCACAAAGGGUCAGCAGAUGUGGUGACUGACUUCAAAGGGAGCUGCUGCCAAUGAUGCCAAGGAGGAUGAACCCUCAUUCAGACUUCAGCACAUUUCUACCUUGUCCAGAUUUGAUCAGAUAUUGGUGCAGAUGUAAUUAAUAAACUGUAUAAAUGGUAGUGCAAGUACUUCUUUAUUAAAGCUAGUUUUGCAUUUUACAUAUCUUA